rnacentral:rRNA from 1 species
ACGCACGCUGGCGGCGCGCCUAACACAUGCAAGUCGAACGAGCGAGAGAGAGCUUGCUUUCUCGAGCGAGUGGCGAACGGGUGAGUAACGCGUGAGGAACCUGCCUCAAAGAGGGGGACAACAGUUGGAAACGACUGCUAAUACCGCAUAAGCCCACGACCCGGCAUCGGGUAGAGGGAAAAGGAGCAAUCCGCUUUGAGAUGGCCUCGCGUCCGAUUAGCUAGUUGGUGAGGUAACGGCCCACCAAGGCGACGAUCGGUAGCCGGACUGAGAGGUUGAACGGCCACAUUGGGACUGAGACACGGCCCAGACUCCUACGGGAGGCAGCAGUGGGGAAUAUUGCACAAUGGGGGAAACCCUGAUGCAGCGACGCCGCGUGGAGGAAGAAGGUCUUCGGAUUGUAAACUCCUGUUGUUGAGGAAGAUAAUGACGGUACUCAACAAGGAAGUGACGGCUAACUACGUG